rnacentral:lncRNA from 1 species
GCCGCUUUGUUGUUGCCGAGGCCUCAGACCGCGGCUUCCAGGCAUGGCUGUCUGGGUGUUCUGCAACCGCUGUUUCCAGCCCCCCGGCAAGUCCUCCUCGCAGUUCAGCCUGACGAGCUGCGGCCACGUGUUCUGCCACCUCUGCCUCCAGCAAGAUAUCAGAAUUUCAAGAAAAACACAGGAGGAGGUUGUUAGCAUUCUAUAGAGAAAAGGAUCUACUCUUCUUGGAGGAAGCACACUGGGAAGAUGAUUGUGGUUUUUGUGAUGAUUCAAGUGGAUUCCUCUGUCAACAUUUGUCUAUCAGCCUUUGCAUGUUGUGCCUGUUUUUCUCGAUGCUACAAUUAAGUGG